rfam:Gregarina niphandrodes unplaced genomic scaffold scaffold00092, whole genome shotgun sequence.
GGCUGUUUGGUCCAGCGGUAUGAUUCUUCCUUCUGAUGGAAGGCGUGCGGGGUUCGAUUCCCAGAACAGCCC